ACGCAAUGAAAAGUUUCUUUUCAUUAACAACAACCACAGGAAUAAUAAUAAUAAUUAGAAUAAUAGCAAACACGUUGGUUUGAUCUUAUACAUCUUUUUCGAAGUAACUGCGUUUUCUUAACCAAUAAAUUGUGAACUUGCUAAAACCUCAGUCACUUCAUAAAAACUUUGCUUGCCUUCUUCUUCAAUAUCUUUUUCACUAAAAAGGCAUUCUUAUCGUAAACUCUUCGCAUUCCGUAUUCAUCCUUUGAAUCUUUCUCAUAUAGGAGGCUUUCACAUGGAUGUGUGUGCGAUAAUGGCUAAUUCGAUAUUUCUUCUUUCCAAUACCUAUCUCAUGACCUCAACUAUCACAGGUGAACUUUUAGAUUUUACUGGUUGUGCGAAAGCGUACUUAGAAAAUACACCAACUUCAACCAAAAGAUAUAUGUAACCUUUGCUUAGUUGUUGAAAUAAAAUUAACUCGCGAAUCAAUCGCCUUCGGAGAAAAUUUUUGUGCUUGGUUCUCAAAUAUAGCUCAUAAAACUUAAUAUCUUUCCUAAUCUUGUUUGACGUCUUUCAAGAAAAUUCAAAACAAAAUCUUAAUAAAUCAAUCUCGAUAUCAGAGUGGAUAGACAUGGAGAUCAGCCAGCUGAACAGCAGUCUUCUUUAUUUCUACGCACUGUGGUAAAAGGUAAUUAUUUUGAGAAUUUGAAUUUAUAAGAAAGAAAAAAAAGGUAACUCCUACGGGCUCGAUAGUUGUGAGUAAUCUUAAUUAAUUGAUUUAAUACGGUGUGAAAAUAAUUGUGUUGAAUGUAUGUGUCACAAAGUUGCUUCACACCGGAUUUACGGCAUCCUUCAAUUUUCCUUGCAUCUGUGAUAACGAUGACAAUGAUUGUUUCGAAUGUUAAUGCCGCUAAUGAAUUCAGUUACAAAACUAUGAAAGACGGUCAUGUUAAAAUACUAAUGAAAUCUAUCGAUUCGUCCGGCGAGUUGGUAAACUACUUGUGUGACAAAAAGUUAAAACUCACGCCUACCUAAUUAAACAAAAGAUUAAUGAAAGUCGGUAUUGAAAAGCUAAGACUCAAAGCUCGGAAUGUUUCUUAGAUUCACUAAAGACCCACUGCCAUAUAGGUCUGGGACCUGGUGCAGGUUCUUUAAAAACCAGAGACAUCACCCAAAUUCUUGGCACCGACCCGUGCAGACUUAUAGUGCAAAACAAGUCAAAUGCCUGAAAUGUGGCUUGGAUCGCAUAACUGAAUCCUUCACCAAAAAUGACGACACCCUCUCAAAAUGUGUAAACUGCCCAAAACGUUAUAAAGUUAAUCUUAUACACUAUCGGCUUCUUAAAAAGAAACUUCAGACGCAGAUCAACGCAU